ACAUCAUAAUUUUAUGGAGAGUUUGAUCCUGGCUCAGGAUGAACGCUGGCGGCGUGCCUAAUACAUGGCAAGUCGAGCGAACGGGACGAGAAGCUUGCUUCUCUGAUGUUAGCGGCGGACGGGUGAGUAACACGUGGAUAACCUACCUAUAAGACUGGGAUAACUUCGGGAAACCGGAGCUAAUACCGGAUAAUAUUUUGAACCGCAUGGUUCAAAAGUGAAAGACGGUCUUGCUGUCACUUAUAGAUGGAUCCGCGCUGCAUUAGCUAGUUGGUAAGGUAACGGCUUACCAAGGCAACGAUGCAUAGCCGACCUGAGAGGGUGAUCGGCCACACUGGAACUGAGACACGGUCCAGACUCCUACGGGAGGCAGCAGUAGGGAAUCUUCCGCAAUGGGCGAAAGCCUGACGGAGCAACGCCGCGUGAGUGAUGAAGGUCUUCGGAUCGUAAAACUCUGUUAUUAGGGAAGAACAUAUGUGUAAGUAACUGUGCACAUCUUGACGGUACCUAAUCAGAAAGCCACGGCUAACUACGUGCCAGCAGCCGCGGUAAUACGUAGGUGGCAAGCGUUAUCCGGAAUUAUUGGGCGUAAAGCGCGCGUAGGCGGUUUUUUAAGUCUGAUGUGAAAGCCCACGGCUCAACCGUGGAGGGUCAUUGGAAACUGGAAAACUUGAGUGCAGAAGAGGAAAGUGGAAUUCCAUGUGUAGCGGUGAAAUGCGCAGAGAUAUGGAGGAACACCAGUGGCGAAGGCGACUUUCUGGUCUGUAACUGACGCUGAUGUGCGAAAGCGUGGGGAUCAAACAGGAUUAGAUACCCUGGUAGUCCACGCCGUAAACGAUGAGUGCUAAGUGUUAGGGGGUUUCCGCCCCUUAGUGCUGCAGCUAACGCAUUAAGCACUCCGCCUGGGGAGUACGACCGCAAGGUUGAAACUCAAAGGAAUUGACGGGGACCCGCACAAGCGGUGGAGCAUGUGGUUUAAUUCGAAGCAACGCGAAGAACCUUACCAAAUCUUGACAUCCUUUGACAACUCUAGAGAUAGAGCCUUCCCCUUCGGGGGACAAAGUGACAGGUGGUGCAUGGUUGUCGUCAGCUCGUGUCGUGAGAUGUUGGGUUAAGUCCCGCAACGAGCGCAACCCUUAAGCUUAGUUGCCAUCAUUAAGUUGGGCACUCUAAGUUGACUGCCGGUGACAAACCGGAGGAAGGUGGGGAUGACGUCAAAUCAUCAUGCCCCUUAUGAUUUGGGCUACACACGUGCUACAAUGGACAAUACAAAGGGCAGCGAAACCGCGAGGUCAAGCAAAUCCCAUAAAGUUGUUCUCAGUUCGGAUUGUAGUCUGCAACUCGACUACAUGAAGCUGGAAUCGCUAGUAAUCGUAGAUCAGCAUGCUACGGUGAAUACGUUCCCGGGUCUUGUACACACCGCCCGUCACACCACGAGAGUUUGUAACACCCGAAGCCGGUGGAGUAACCUUUUAGGAGCUAGCCGUCGAAGGUGGGACAAAUGAUUGGGGUGAAGUCGUAACAAGGUAGCCGUAUCGGAAGGUGCGGCUGGAUCACCUUGGAAACA
rnacentral:rRNA from 1 species